UUUUUGGUCCGCGACAACGUGAACGCAUCAUCAAUGUCACGAACAAAACUUGCGAGUGUGGAGGGACACAGUUCAGGCGUGGAUCGCGGCAUACAUUCACGGCGUGAAAUAACGGCGCGAUUUCACGUGCGAGUGUAAAGCCGGCUUAUAACGUAGUGAUUACAUACUCUUUGUUAAUGUCAUUGUCAAUGAAAAUUCCUAUGAAUUAAUAGGUAUUUGUGAAUUUCUGAAUAUUUUUUGACUUAAAUGGAUUUACAUCACAGAUUUACAUAUCAAUGACAUUGCUACCAGAUUUUGAUGAAAAAUAAAUAAGUGCGUGAGCAAAAAAGAGUCACGAAUAAUGGAUACUUCUAAAUAUAAUGCACCAAAAUUGCCAACUAUUCAAAACAUGUUAGAAGACAUAUCUGAUCCUAGUGUUGUACAGCGGGAUGAAGAACUAAGGAUAUCUAAUAAUGACGACGUAUUGUUUGAUGCCUACAGGUGUUAUCUCAAUAUUAAAAUGUUGAAAGAAGACUUGAGUACACAAAACAGCCUUAACACUGAAUUGGAAGAUUUGAAUAUUGAGCUUGUGCAAAAUAUCGAAAACAUGAAAAAGCAACAUUAGAAAAAUCAUUUGUUAUGGUUUUUGUUCAGCUAGCAUUUAUUUCUAUGAAGUAUGAAUGUUAGUUACCACAAUCGUCAAUCUUAACUUGUAUCCUUUGGUUGAAAAUACUGUCGUUAUAAGAUAGCUUUUGCCCACAACUUCAUCCACCAUACAAAAUAAAUUAAAUAUAAUUAUUACAAUAUUUUAAAGCAUAUGAAGCCUUGGGUUCAGUAUAGCCAUAUAUCAGUUUAUUAAACUGUUCAUCUAUGCUUAAGGAAUAUUCAUAAUAAUUUAAGUACAUGUUGUUGCUUAAGCAUGUCAUUUUUUGGUUUUAACAUAAAGCCAUUCGCUAAAGAAUUGAGAGGUGCGUCUAGAUUAUAAUUUAUUGAAAGUUUAAGGUUAUAAAUAAAUCAAUAUUUAUUUAUCUUUGUUCUUAUUUAAUUAUACUUCCAUAGUUUAUUAAAUCUUCUUCCCUUAUUACUUUCAAAUGAAAUAAUGCAACUAACGCUGCUCCUUGC